rnacentral:rRNA from 1 species
GGUAACUUAGUCUUAUACUCAUUAUUAAUGGAUCAUAAAUCUAUUCAUCAAUAUUACUAGCCAAGAAGAGUUUAUUUUAUCUCCCCGUCACCCCAACCAAACAAUUUUAAAUCAAACUCAACUCCCCCCUAAAUAAAUUUAUCACCCGUAAUUGUUAAACUCUAUAGGGUCUUCUCGUCCUCCAAUUUUAUUUAAGCCUUUUGACUAAAAAGUUAAAUUAUACCCCAAUCCCUGUGAGACAGUAAACACCUCGUCCAACCAUUCAUGCCAGCCCCUAAUUAAGAGACUAAUGAUUAUGCUACCUUUGCACGGUCAAAAUACCGCGGCCCUUCAAUUUUCAGCGGGCAGGCUAGACCUCUUACAUUUACAAGAAGCGAUGUUUUUGAUAAACAGGCGAGCAUUCAUUUGCCGAAUUCCUUACAGAAACCUUUCUGUACUGAUUACUACUACAUUUCAUUAUAUUAAUUCCACCAUUAUUGCCCAUUUUCCCCUGUUCCCAAUGACACUUUGAUACAUAAACUAAACCCAUUAAAAUUAAACCACCCCUAAGUAAACUAUAACGUUAUUAUUUGAUGACUGAUUUCAAGUCUACUCCCCUAAGUUACUAGCCCUGUUAUAAUUAUAUCCCUAAGCUUAUCCCCCAAGACAUUAACAAUCACCCCUUAAAUCAAUUAUUACUAACCAAAGUAACACUAUUGCCUGAAUUAAAUUCAUUUCUCAAAGAACUAGAAACCUCUAAAUUCGCCUAACAUUUCAUUUCUAAAGAAGUAUUUUUAAGAAAUUUACUAUUUUAACUAAAUUACCUCUUUAGCCCAUUUAAAAUCGAGAAAACAAAAUCUUUCACUUCAUUUAAUAAACCCUGAUACACAAGGUACAACACUAAAUCUACUUUUCAUUAAAUCACUUUUCAAUUAUUUCACCCUUCCUUCUCAGUACUACCCUUAUUACUUACUGUGUGAUUUCAUUACCCGAUACUCCCACUAGCCCCUUAAUAUUGAUUUACCCAGUCAAUUUAAAUUCACUAAUCUUCCUAAUUAUGUUACCUCUCAAAAUAAAUUGAAUUGCACAAUAACUUCUCAAUGUAAAUGAAAUGCUUUACUCCUCAAGCUCUA